GACGAACGCUUGCGGCGUGCUUAACACAUGCAAGUCGAACGGAAAGGCCCUGCUUUUGUGGGGUGCUCGAGUGGCGAACGGGUGAGUAACACGUGAGUAACCUGCCCUUGACUUUGGGAUAACUUCAGGAAACUGGGGCUAAUACCGGAUAGGAGCUCCUGCCGCAUGGUGGGGGUUGGAAAGUUUCGGCGGUUGGGGAUGGACUCGCGGCUUAUCAGCUUGUUGGUGGGGUAGUGGCUUACCAAGGCUUUGACGGGUAGCCGGCCUGAGAGGGUGACCGGCCACAUUGGGACUGAGAUACGGCCCAGACUCCUACGGGAGGCAGCAGUGGGGAAUAUUGCACAAUGGGCGGAAGCCUGAUGCAGCAACGCCGCGUGCGGGAUGACGGCCUUCGGGUUGUAAACCGCUUUCGCCUGUGACGAAGCGUGAGUGACGGUAAUGGGUAAAGAAGCACCGGCUAACUACGUGCCAGCAGCCGCGGUGAUACGUAGGGUGCGAGCGUUGUCCGGAUUUAUUGGGCGUAAAGGGCUCGUAGGUGGUUGAUCGCGUCGGAAGUGUAAUCUUGGGGCUUAACCCUGAGCGUGCUUUCGAUACGGGUUGACUUGAGGAAGGUAGGGGAGAAUGGAAUUCCUGGUGGAGCGGUGGAAUGCGCAGAUAUCAGGAGGAACACCAGUGGCGAAGGCGGUUCUCUGGGCCUUUCCUGACGCUGAGGAGCGAAAGCGUGGGGAGCGAACAGGCUUAGAUACCCUGGUAGUCCACGCUGUAAACGGUGGGUACUAGGUGUGGGGUCCAUUCCACGGGUUCCGUGCCGUAGCUAACGCUUUAAGUACCCCGCCUGGGGAGUACGGCCGCAAGGCUAAAACUCAAAGGAAUUGACGGGGCCCCGCACAAGCGGCGGAGCAUGCGGAUUAAUUCGAUGCAACGCGUAGAACCUUACCUGGGUUUGACAUGGAUCGGGAGUGCUCAGAGAUGGGUGUGCCUCUUUUGGGGUCGGUUCACAGGUGGUGCAUGCCUGUCGUCAGCUCGUGUCGUGAGAUGUUGGGUUAAGUCCCGCAACGAGCGCAACCCUUGUUCACUGUUGCCAGCACGUUAUGGUGGGGACUCAGUGGAGACCGCCGGGGUCAACUCGGAGGAAGGUGGGGAUGACGUCAAGUCAUCAUGCCCCUUAUGUCCAGGGCUUCACGCAUGCUACAAUGGCUGGUACAGAGAGUGGCGAGCCUGUGAGGGUGAGCGAAUCUCGGAAAGCCGGUCUCAGUUCGGAUUGGGGUCUGCAACUCGACCUCAUGAAGUCGGAGUCGCUAGUAAUCGCAGAUCAGCAACGCUGCGGUGAAUACGUUCCCGGG
rnacentral:rRNA from 1 species